rnacentral:tRNA from 1 species
GGAGAGCCACAGACCGCCGUGGACCUCCUCGAUGCGCUUUGCAAGCAGGGGGUCGUGGGUUCGAAUCCCAUCGUCUCCA